rnacentral:lncRNA from 1 species
GAUCGCGUAACUCGUCUACUAGCGGAGCGGUUUGGUGGUGAUCCCCGCGAUUAUGAAAUUGUACAUUGUCCUGACGGCGGCGACUAUGUAGUAUUCUUUCCUACCGGCAAGAUUCGGGAUAAAGCUAUCCGUCGUUCGCCAAUUCAGUCCUACAAACUCACAAUUAGUGCCGUGCCGUGGGAAUACAACCUUGGUGAACGCCGGCAUAGAUUUCGGUAUGAUGUAUGGAUCCGUUUGCAUGGCUUACCACUCCAGUGCAAUAGGUAUGAAGAUUUACAAACUAUUAUUUCAAGUUUUGGAGAAUUUAUAGGUGGAGAUGAGAGAAGCCGGCUUCGUCAAGAUGUAAGGUUCUAUCGGUUGUUGAUCAAAUGUGCUGACCUCCUAAUGAUUCCUGAAUGUAUUACGCUCGUGUUGGGAAAUCGGGAAUGAAAAAUAAAUGUUGAAGUAGAGUCAUGGGAAUAUCACCACUGG